rnacentral:lncRNA from 1 species
AGAUGAAUAAGUUCACGAUGGGAGUGUCUGACUUAGUAGCACAAGAAUGUCGUACAACAAUACCUGUUGGUGAUAUGGAUAUCUUACGUCUUAUAGUGUAUACCCAACAAAUUGAGGAUUCGAAACUCAAGAAAGAGAAAUCUAGGGAGAAAAAAAGGUCUAUAAUGGAAGAUGAUAAGUCCUUUCAUGAUGGAUCCGAUGGACAUGGUCGCUCUAGGAAUCGACAAAGGUUUUCCGGACAAGGUCCUUCUAGUACUC